UACGGGAGUGGCAAGCGUUAUCCGGAAUUAUUGGGCGUAAAGCGUCCGCAGGCGGUCUUGUAAGUCUGUUGUUAAAGCGUGGAGCUUAACUCCAUUUCAGCAAUGGAAACUGCAAGACUAGAGUGUGGUAGGGGCAGAGGGAAUUCCCGGUGUAGCGGUGAAAUGCGUAGAUAUCGGGAAGAACACCAGUGGCGAAGGCGCUCUGCUGGGCCAUAACUGACGCUCAUGGACGAAAGCCAGGGGAGCGAAAGGGAUUAGAUACCCCUGUAGUCCUGGCCGUAAACGAUGAACACUAGGUGUCGGGGGAAUCGACCCCCUCGGUGUCGUAGCCAACGCGUUAAGUGUUCCGCCUGGGGAGUACGCACGCAAGUGUGAAACUCAAAGGAAUUGACGGGGGCCCGCACAAGCGGUGGAGUAUGUGGUUUAAUUCGAUGCAACGCGAAGAACCUUACCAGGGUUUGACAUCCUGCGAAUCUCUUGGAAACGAGAGAGUGCCUUCGGGAACGCAGUGACAGGUGGUGCAUGGCUGUCGUCAGCUCGUGUCGUGAGAUGUUGGGUUAAGUCCCGCAACGAGCGCAACCCACGUCGUUAGUUGCCAGCAUUUAGUUGGGCACUCUAGCGAGACCGCCGGUGAUAAACCGGAGGAAGGUGUGGAUGACGUCAAGUCAUCAUGCCCCUUACAUCCUGGGCUACACACGUACUACAAUGCUACGGACAAAGGGCAGCAAACUCGCGAGAGCUAGCAAAUCCCAUAAACCGUGGCUCAGUUCAGAUCGUGGGCUGCAACUCGCCUACGUGAAGGAGGAAUCGCUAGUAAUCGCAGGUCAGCAUACUGCGGUGAAUACGUUCCCGGGCCU
rnacentral:rRNA from 1 species